rnacentral:misc_RNA from 1 species
GUUCCAAAUCCCACCUCCCAAUCUUCCAAUCUAGGGUUAGGGUUUCGAUCCGAUGUCGGGCGGCAGCGGCGUAGUGGCGGUCUACAACACCGGCAACGGCGCGGCGAUCGCCGAGGCCAAGAAGUCCUCCACCUUCUCCGUCAAGGUCGGUCUCGCCCAGAUGCUCCGCGGCGGCGUCAUCAUGGACGUCGUCACAGCCGAGCAGGCCCGCCUAGCUGAGGAGGCUGGCGCUUGCGCCGUCAUGGCGCUGGAGCGCGUCCCCGCCGACAUCCGCGCCCAGGGCGGCGUCGCACGCAUGUCCGAUCCAGCUCUCAUCCGUGACAUCAAGCGCGCCGUCACCAUCCCCGUCAUGGCGAAGGCCCGGAUCGGGCACUUCGUCGAGGCUCAGAUCUUGGAGGCAAUUGGGGUCGACUACAUCGACGAGAGUGAGGUCCUCACGCCAGCUGAUGAUGCACACCACAUCAACAAGCAUAAUUUCCGCGUCCCCUUCGUCUGUGGCUGCCGUGACCUCGGCGAAGCUCUGCGCCGCAUCCGAGAGGGUGCGGCGAUGAUCCGCACCAAGGGGGAGGCGGGGACGGGGAACAUUGUCGAGGCUGUCCGCCAUGUCCGAUCCGUGAUGGGUGACAUCCGAGCGCUCCGCAGCAUGGAUGAUGAUGAGGUGUUUUCUUACGCCAAGCGCAUUGCUGCCCCGGUGGACCUUGUGAUGCAGACCAAGCAGCUCGGGCGUCUCCCGGUUGUGCAUUUCGCGGCUGGUGGAGUGGCUACCCCGGCUGAUGCUGCACUCAUGAUGCAGCUUGGGUGUGAUGGGGUUUUCGUUGGAUCUGGGAUAUUCAAGAGUGGGGAUCCUGCCAGGCGUGCGCGUGCGAUCGUGCAGGCCGUGACACACUAUAGUGACCCGGAGAUACUGGCGGAUGUUAGCUGUGGGCUUGGGGAGGCCAUGGUUGGGAUCAAUCUGAGUGAUCCGAAGGUGGAGAGGUUUGCGGCUCGAUCGGAGUAGUGGUUCGUUGGCAGGUGAGGACUUCCCAGGACUCUGGCUCCCCCUCUCAUGCUUACUCUAAUGAUGAAGCUCAGUAGAUUCUGUUGUUUUUAAAUAACUUGCUUUUACUUUUAGUGAAACAUUUAUGGGAUAAUGUCGAAUACCAAUCUCUCCUUUUAUCAUUAUCCAUCAUAAUAAUAUAGUGAAAUGAUG